AACCCCUCCUCUGGCUGCUCUGUUACUACAGACUAAAUAUUUCAAAGUGCUACCUUGGAAUAUAAAAGUGGUGUCGGAUGGCUGUGUUAAAUGUGGAGUGGGGGUGUUAAAUGUGGAAUAGGGGUGUUAAAGGUGAAUGAGGGGAGUUAAAGGUGAAUGGGGCUGUUCAAGGUGGAAUGGGGGGAGUUAAAGGUGAAUGGGGGUGUUACAGGUGGCAUGGGGGGUGUUAAAGGUGAAUGGGGGUGUUAAAGGUGAAUAGGGUGUUAAAGGAGAAUGGGGGGUGUUAAAGGUGAAUGGGGGUGUUAAAGGUGAAUGGGGUGUUAGAGGCGGAACGGGUGCGCUGCCGGCGCUCGUCCCCUGCGCCGCAGUGUUCCGUGUGCGC